UUUCAACGGAGAGUUUGAUCCUGGCUCAGGACGAACGCUGGCGGCGUGCUUAACACAUGCAAGUCGAGCGGUAAGGCCACUUCGGUGGUACACGAGCGGCGAAC
rnacentral:rRNA from 1 species